UAGCAGGCGCUUAAUAAAUGCUUAUUUCCCUUCCUUCCCUCUAAGAUUAUCAGAACAAAGGGACAUGGAGUGUGAAGCUCCAGAAGCUCUUAUCCUGUGCCUUGCACAGGAUGAUAACCUUAGGACUGGAAGGGUUCUCAAAAGUCCAACCCCAUCAUUUUAUGGAUGGGGAAACUGAGGCCAGGAAGAUUAAAAGAAUGGCCUAAGGUAAAACAUCACACGGCUAGGCACAUGCUGUUGACUGACAGCUUGACGCUGGGUGCAGCGAUCCGCAGAGGAGAGGCGCCAGGGAUACCUCCAGGGCACAGGCUGCCAUAGGGCAGAAGGCGAGGGCCCGGGCUCGGCUCCUCGGGGCCCACGAGGUGUCUGGACUGAACCAGCAGAUGUGGGGAGGGACGACGGCGUUCUAGGUCUAGAUGCAAUCAGCACAUUGUUAUCUGUAAAUAUGACAUCUGAAGGACCCAUCAUCUGUAGAGAAUCUCUCUCUUCAACAAAAAUUCUGCUGUGGAUAUCCAUGACAGUGAUGAAUACCUUUGUCACUGUACAUUCUUCUUUUGGCUCUGCUUAUUUCACUAUGAAUAAAUUGAACGUGUGAAAUAAGAUGCUACAAUUCAGAAGGGAUGAGAGAUGCCCAGGAAUGCUCAAGAGAGAUGCUGAAGACACAAAGGGAAAGAAUUCCAAUGAGGAAAAAUGGGAUUUGUAUGAAGAGAUGGAUGUGGAUACACAAGGAACUCACCAACCAACUUAGAUUUCAAAAAGAUUUGUACAGAAGAUGGAAGCAAAGCAAGCUAUAUUGUUAGAAAAAAAAGAAGGUUCAGAGGAGGACUAAAACCUUUGCAUGGAUGGAACCAUGGUCACUGAACACAGAGAGAAAGCAGAGCUGCUGAAUUCAUAUUUAGAUCCUGUUUUCUCAGCAAAAGAGGAUGAACUUUACACUGGAAAUGACAGAAUGCAAAUGACUAACAAUGGUGGUGAUACCCAAAAUAGGUAAGGAGAUAAAAGGGACUGGCUGAUUUUGAUCAAUUCUAAUCACCUGGCCCAAUGGAAUAACCUCCUAGGGUACUGAAAGAGCUGGCAGAUGGGAUGAUUGAGCCACUGUCAGAGGUAUUGGAUAUAAAUAUUUUUGUAGAUAUGGGUCCUUUUCCUCUUUUGUCUCUGUGAUAUAGAUUUAGUAGUGGUAUU